rnacentral:lncRNA from 1 species
CAGAAGCUAUCACCUGCUAUGAAGCGGUUCUCACGAGGAAAGACAUGGAAUUCACAGAUACUCUUGUCGAAGAGGAUUCUAAAAUAAUUAUCAACAAAUGCAUCACACAAUCCAGAGAUAAAUCGCAGGUUAGUGCAUAUAUCAGUAACAUAUAAAGCGAAAAAGGCAGUUUUCAACUAUUACUUUCCUCUUUGCUUAGAGGUUGGCUAAUCAGUUAGCCCAUAUCAUUGCCACAACAAGUCUCAGAAAGGAUGAAGAGAUUUACUUGUUUUGUACGGUUCCUAGGUAUGCCACACACCAAUCGGGACUAGAACGACCAAGAGAGCCAGACUGACAUGAAACACCGGAUCGCAGAG